GACGUAGGGCGCGAGCGUUGUCCGGAUUUAUUGGGCGUAAAGAGCGUGUAGGCGGCUAUACAGGUCCGCUGUGAAAACUCGAGGCUCAACCUCGAGACGUCGGUGGAAACCGUAUGGCUAGAGUCCGGAAGAGGAGAGUGGAAUUCCUGGUGUAGCGGUGAAAUGCGCAGAUAUCAGGAAGAACACCCGUGGCGAAGGCGGCUCUCUGGGACGGUACUGACGCUGAGACGCGAAAGCGUGGGGAGCGAACAGG
rnacentral:rRNA from 1 species